rnacentral:misc_RNA from 1 species
UACCCUUGACAUGCCAGGAACCCUCCAGAGAUGGAGGGGUGCCCGAAAGGGAACCUGGACACAGGUGCUGCAUGGCUGUCGUCAGCUCGUGUCGUGAGAUGUUGGGUUAAGUCCCGCAACGAGCGCAACCCUUGCCAUUAGUUGCCACAUUCAGUUGGGCACUCUAAUGGGACUGCCGGUGACAAACCGGAGGAAGGUGGGGAUGACGUAGACCUUGGACC